rnacentral:rRNA from 1 species
UACGUAGGGUGCAAGCGUUGUCCGGAAUUAUUGGGCGUAAAGAGCUCGUAGGCGGUUUGUCGCGUCUGCUGUGAAAAUCCAGGGCUUAACCCUGGACCUGCAGUGGGUACGGGCAGACUAGAGUGCGGUAGGGGAGAUCGGAAUUCCUGGUGUAGCGGUGAAAUGCGUAGAUAUCUGGAGGAACACCGGUGGCGAAGGCGGCGUUCUGGACUGUUUCUGACACUGAAAAACGAAAGCCAGGGGAGCAAACGGG